ACAGAUUUAGACCUGGGACACCAGGUGAGUGUAAUUAAUGAUCAGGUAGAACAGAGAACCAGCAGGCUCUGGACCUUGUAGGGUCAGAGUUGAAAUGCCCUUCCCCAUGACCUUCAUGACUGUUUAAAUGUCUUGUAGCUUGAUCUCUACCAGUUCUCUCUCUCUUCUGUUCUCAUGGUGUAUAGUUUUCUGGGUCUAACUCCCCAACAUGAUAUCACUUCAGGUCUAACUCCCCAACAUGAUAUCACUUCAGGUCUAACUCCCCAACAUGAUAUCACUUCAGGUCUAACUCCCCAACAUGGGUAUCACUUCAGGUCUAACUCCCCAACAUGAUAUCACUUCAGGUCUAACUCCCCAACAUGAUAUCACUUCAGGUCUAACUCCCCAACAUGAUAUCACUUCAGGUCUAACUCCCCAACAUGGCAUCACUUCAGGUCUAACUCCCCAACAUGGCAUCACUUCAGGUCUAACUCCCCAACAUGAUAUCACUUCAGGUCUAACUCCCCAACAUGGCAUCACUUCAGGUCUAACUCCCCAACAGGGUAUCACUUCAGGUCUAACUCCCCAACAUGAUAUCACUUCAGGUCUAACUCCCCAACAUGGUAUCACUUCAGGUCUAACUCCCCAACAUGAUAUCACUUCAGGUCUAACUCCCCAACAUG